UACGGGGGGGGCAAGCGUUGUUCGGAAUUACUGGGCGUAAAGGGCGCGUAGGCGGCCUGCUAAGUCGGACGUGAAAUCCCUCGGCUCAACCGGGGAACUGCGUCUGAUACUGGCGGGCUUGAAUUCGGGAGAGGGAUGUGGAAUUCCAGGUGUAGCGGUGAAAUGCGUAGAUAUCUGGAGGAACACCGGUGGCGAAGGCGGCAUCCUGGACCGACAUUGACGCUGAGGCGCGAAAGCCAGGGGAGCAAACGGG
rnacentral:rRNA from 1 species